rnacentral:rRNA from 1 species
UACAGAGGUCCCAAGCGUUGUUCGGAUUCACUGGGCGUAAAGGGUGCGUAGGUGGCCGGGAAAGUUCGAUGUGAAAGCUCGGAGCUCAACUCCGAAAUGGCAUUGAAUACUAUUCGGCUUGAGGGUCGGAGGGGAGACUGGAAUUCUCGGUGUAGCAGUGAAAUGCGUAGAUAUCGAGAGGAACACCAGUGGCGAAGGCGAGUCUCUGGACGACUCCUGACACUGAGGCACGAAAGCUAGGGGAGCAAACAGG